UCACGCUGCGGGUGUCUGUCCAGUGAUUCAGCCACAUUUGAUAGAUGACCAAGUGGCUGUUUUCUUGGGUUCUGCACAGCAGUGGAAGACAAACUGAUUGUGGCCGACUUGAUCCAACUCUGGUUUCCUGAACUGGAAAAGCGCCUGUGUGAUCUGGAACAAAGACGUUUUAUAAUCAGAUUUAUCAAGCUGCGAAAGAGGGAGUUUUAGCGAGCGGCAGCAGAAGCAUACUGUCACCAGGAAAUACUGCUUUAUCCUGAAUUGGGUUCCUCCCAAGAAGGCUGCAGAAGAUCAUCCAGCUGCCAGAAGGUCUAGGUGCCCUCAAUGGCUCAGUAGCCAGUGUAGAUCCUGUCUUUGGUAAUCAGUAGCUACAUCUGGCUACUGGGUCUCUGAUGGCAUCCUCUAGCUUCUGUUACAGAAGACUAUCAAGACUCCUGAGGAAGGCCACUGGGCAACAUGCAAUAAUGAAAGCUUUAUCCUGACUUAUACAUACAUAGAGAGAGAAAGAGAGAAUCAGCUUCUGGGGUAUUCAGGCCUCUAUUGUUAGCUGGACUUACAGAAUCAUCAAGGUUUGAUGCACACUGUUGAAGUCUCUUUGCUUAGCACCAGGGAAAGGAAUCCAAAUCAUUUCAUGUUUGUCUGCCUGCCGGCCUACCAGUUAUCUACCUGCCUUUCCACUUAUCAUCUUUCUACCAAACUAUCAAGCUACCCAUUCCUUCAUGGCCUCUUUCUCAUUUCUUAACUUCUAGAUAGCAUUUUCAAAAUAAUAUGGUGAUUAAAGAAUGAGAUCUUGAUGGAAUUGUAAUUGGUGCAAGUAUGUUCCAGCAAGUCUGACUCUUGAUUUUGUUUCCCAGUGGUAGAGGACACAAAUGCCAAUUUUGUAAUCUUCAAUGUGACAAUUGUGUCUAAGGAUUCUACAAGGAUAUUCUCCAAAAUGAAUAUCCAGGUGUGUGGCUUGAACCUGGCAUACAAUGUAGAUUUCUGUAUUUUCUGGGCAACAGCUACAUUGUCUGCUGGGUUUCAGGCUACCUGGAAACACAUUCUGCAAUGAUCAUCUCAUCAAUGCAAUAACUGUAAUGUUUGAUUUUCCAUGAUGCGUAAACCAGUAAGGUUUUCCAUCGGAUAGAAUGCAGAGAAAGAAUCAUAUAAAAGCUGAUCAUGUUAGCAAAGAAUGCCUUAUGUUUUCACCCAAAGUAUAUGGCUGCCUGACCAACUGACAACAUAUGAUGCCAUCCUUCUUUCUCCUUGCCUCAUCUCUCAAGCAGUAACCAUUCCCAUUAAUUAUUAUCAGAAUAUAUGGUACCAGCAGGCCUGAUCACACUGCCUUGUGAUGUUGUCUUUCCUCCUCCUUGUGGGUUCUCACUUGCCUGCUCUCCUUUUAUCAUAACCUCUUAACUUUCAUGAAUGACCCUUGGUCCCACGGGAGUCUGAAUCUUUUUGUGCCCUAAUAUCCUGCUCCAUCAUGUUCUACCUGAAAGUGAACUGUGGAUAUCAGGGAAGCUGGAGUUUUUACCUUUGUUUGCCAUCACGUGUGAAACUGGUAGAGUAGCUUUCUUACGGAAUUACAGAUAGUAUGUAGUGUUAAAACGUCAGCAUGCAGCAAGAAGAAAACAGAAAGCUUUAGUGGAAAAAAUCUGAUGCAAUGCCUUGUAAAUAAAUUUAAUCCUACAAAAUGUUUUAGAAACUAAUAAUUUAACCUGUUACAUUUUCCAUGAUGAUGUGCUUAAAAGAAUUUAUUAACUCUUCUUCACAUGAACUGGAGCUGUUUAAUAAGAAAUCUUGUGUCCUUAGUUACUAUGAAUUUACUGAUUUAAAAUAGAAAAUGUGCAUGUGGAAUGCAAAGGAAAAUGUCUGCAUGUCAUGACUGAUUAACUGAUUGUAGUGAUACAAAGGCGUUUUUGCCACCCCAUUCUGAGUUCAGUGAAAAUAAAGACUUGGAGAUUUUGAAAGA